GACGAACGCUGGCGGCAGGCCUAACACAUGCAAGUCGAACGGACGUAGCAAUACGUUAGUGGCUCACGGGAGAGUAACGCGUGGGAACCUACCUUUUGGUUCGGGAUAACAUCGGGAAACUGGUGCUAAUACCGGAUAAGCCCUUCGGGGGAAAGAUUUAUUGCCGAAAGAUGGGCCCGCGUUGGAUUAGCUAGUUGGUGAGGUAAUGGCUCACCAAGGCAACGAUCCAUAGCUGGUCUGAGAGGAUGAUCAGCCUCACUGGGACUGAGACACGGCCCAGACUCCUACGGGAGGCAGCAGUGGGGAAUAUUGGACAAUGGGGGAAACCCUGAUCCAGCCAUGCCGCGUGAAUGAUGAAGGCCUUCGGGUUGUAAAGUUCUUUUGGUGGGGACGAUGAUGACGGUACCCACAGAAUAAGCUCCGGCUAACUUCGUGCAGCAGCCGCCGUAA
rnacentral:rRNA from 1 species